ensembl:lncRNA
GGCUCUUCCGUAGAGUUUGCAGCCAGGGGCCGGCCCCGCUUGCAUUUCGCUUACCCGCCUCCAUAAACUGCUUUGGCUCCUGGUCUCGCAUCUCCCUGUGGCUCCCCGCAGAUUCCGCCCGGCCUUCCCUUCCUCCCGCAGCCACGCCCCGGCUUGGCUUCCAGCAGCCGUGGCAGCGCUGGCGUUUAGCCGUUGCCCAGAGACGACGCCCGAGAGGCGGUUUAGCUGACCACCUGGCGGGCAGCCGGCGCUCCUCUCCAGGAAGCAGGCGGUUCUCGAGCUCUCGCCGAGCGGACCGGUGAGGUGGCCGGGUCUCCAGGAGCAGCGUGUCCCGGUUCCGCGCCAGCCCCGGCUGGCAAGAGGCAGCCGGUGUCCCCGGAGGAGAAGCCCAACCCGCUGCAGGACGCGAACCUCUGCUCGCGCGCGUUUGUCUGGAGUCUUUCAAGGGAAGUUCUUCAAGUUCUUGCUGUUGGAGAUGAUGCAUGUGAAACAGUUGGUGAUGGACAGGGAGGCCUGGCAUGCUGCAGUUCAUGGGGUUGCAAAGAGUCGGACACGACUGAGCAACUGAACUGAACUUGGGUAUUUGCUUUCUUCCCAAAUUUCAUCUGCUUUCGAAACUUGUAAAUGAUGCCAGUAACUAACUUACUGACU